CUCACACUGAGGCUGGGCUUGGACGAGUGACUUGUUUUGGAAAUGAGACAUUAGCAAAGGUGAUGCAAGAGAAAAGUUGAAAAUUGCUUGUUACUCCUGCCUCCUUGUGCCCAAACCCUGGCCCAGGACCUGCAAAGACCCAGCUGAGAGAGAGGCUGCCUUGAAUCAUCCAGCCCACCUGCCCCCUGCCCCCAAGACGUUUACUGCGCUGUCAUCACUUGCCCCAGCCCCAGGGCACCAUCCAGAUGUUGACCUAAAAAGAUAACCUUGGAGGAUGUGGCGCACGUCCUCAGUACCGCACGUGCAGGUGAGAGCUGGGGAAGUCUAGCUGCCCCAUCUCCGCCCCUCCGCGGGGGCUGGCUCACAGGGCCAGCCUCCUCUCGGGUCGAUGCACCUGGCCCAGGGACUUCUGAAGACUGAAAAUGAAACUGGAGGAGGAAUCAAGGAGAACAAAGGUGGCACAGGUCUCUCUGGCACCUUCGCAUGAUGAGCGCC